GUCGAGAAUCUUUCACAAUGGGGGCAACCCUGAUGGAGCGACGCCGCGUGGAGGAUAAGGUCUUCGGAUUGUAAACUCCUGUCAUGCGUGAACAAGGUUGCUUGGUUAAUACCUGGGCAAAUUGAUGGUAGCGCAAGAGGAAGAGACGGCUAACUCUGUGCCAGCAGCCGCGGUAAUACAGAGGUCUCAAGCGUUGUUCGGAAUCACUGGGCGUAAAGGGUGCGUAGGUGGCGUGGCAAGUCAGAUGUGAAAGCCCGGGGCGCAACCUCGGAACUGCAUCGGAUACUGCCAUGCUAGAGUACUGGAGGGGUGACUAGAAUUCUCGGUGUAGCAGUGAAAUGCGUAGAUAUCGAGAGGAAUACCAAAGGCGUAGGCAGGUCACUGGACAGUUACUGACACUGAGGCACGAAGGCCAGGGGAGCGAACGGGAUUAGAAACCCUAGUAGUCC
rnacentral:rRNA from 1 species